rnacentral:rRNA from 1 species
GACGAACGCUGGCGGCGUGCUUAACACAUGCAAGUCGAACGGUGAAGGUGGAGCUUGCUCCGCCGGAUCAGUGGCGAACGGGUGAGUAACACGUGGGCAACCUGCCCCUCACUUCGGGAUAACUCCGGGAAACCGGGGCUAAUACCGAAUACGACCUCCUUGGGCAUCCCGGGAGGUGGAAAGUUUUUCGGUGAGGGAUGGGCCCGCGGCCUAUCAGCUUGUUGGUGAGGUAACGGCUCACCAAGGCGACGACGGGUAGCCGGCCUGAGAGGGCGACCGGCCACACUGGGACUGAGACACGGCCCAGACUCCUACGGGAGGCAGCAGUGGGGAAUAUUGCGCAAUGGGCGAAAGCCUGACGCAGCAACGCCGCGUGCGGGAUGAAGGCCUUCGGGUUGUAAACCGCUUUCAGCAGGGAAGAAGCCGCAAGGUGACGGUACCUGCAGAAGAAGCACCGGCUAACUACGUGCCAGCAGCCGCGGUAA